CCCGCUGUAGAUGUUCGUCGGCGUCCAGCGGGGUGGAGGUCGGGGAAGCGAGCAUCGACGACGAGGGUGACGGAGUCGAGGAAGCGACGGUGUAGACGUGGUGGCGUCGGGGAGGCUCCGACGAGGGGAGGGGGGCUCCGGGCGAUAGUGGCAUCGGGGCCGAACCCCGGUUCCAGAUCGGGCGGAGGGGACGGUCCUCGGGCACGGGGCGCACGACAUGCGGCGACGUCGGGGCGGCGCUGCGCCCAGGUCGGGCCGUGGUGAACAGGGG
rnacentral:rRNA from 1 species